AGACGUAUAGCUCAGUUGGUUAGAGUAUCAUGUUGACACCAUGAAGGUCACUGGUUCAAAUCCAGUUAUGUCUA
rnacentral:tRNA from 1 species